rnacentral:tRNA from 1 species
UAGGAGGUAGUACAUAAGGAAGUACCGAAAGCUUUGGGCUUUCUAGUUCAAGUUCGAGUCUUGACCUUCUAG